ACAGAGGUGGCAAGCGUUGUUCGGAAUUACUGGGCGUAAAGGGCGCGUAGGCGGCCACCGCAAGUCAGUUGUGAAAUCUCUGGGCUUAACCCAGAAAGGUCAACUGAUACUGCGGGGCUAGAGUGCAGAAGGGGCAACUGGAAUUCUCGGUGUAGCGGUGAAAUGCGUAGAUAUCGAGAGGAACACCUGCGGCGAAGGCGGGUUGCUGGGCUGACACUGACGCUGAGGCGCGAAAGCUAGGGGAGCGAACGGGA
rnacentral:rRNA from 1 species